AACGAACGCUGGCGGCAUGCCUAACACAUGCAAGUCGAACGAGACCUUCGGGUCUAGUGGCGCACGGGUGAGUAACGCGUGGGAACCUGCCCUUAGGUUCGGAAUAACUCCCCGAAAGGGGUGCUAAUACCGGAUAAUGUCUUCGGACCAAAGAUUUAUCGCCUUUGGAUGGGCCCGCGUUGGAUUAGCUAGUUGGUAGGGUAAACGCCUACCAAGGCGACGAUCCAUAGCUGGUCUGAGAGGAUGAUCAGCCACACUGGGACUGAGACACGGCCCAGACUCCUACGGGAGGCAGCAGUGGGGAAUAUUGGACAAUGGGCGAAAGCCUGAUCCAGCAAUGCCGCGUGAGUGAUGAAGGCCUUAGGGUUGUAAAGCUCUUUUACCCGGGAUGAUAAUGACAGUACCGUGAGAAUAAGCUCCGGCUAACUCCGUG
rnacentral:rRNA from 1 species